GAAGAUAUAGCUCAGUGGUAGAGUCCAUGCUUAGCAAGCACAGGGUCCUGGGUUCAAUCUCCAGUACUUCCC
rnacentral:tRNA from 1 species